CGCAGCUCGCCGCCUCUGCAUGAGGGGCAUGGGGGGCCCCUGUCAUUCCGGCCCCAGACAUCAGCUGCUAGCUGCAAAUAUUUAAGCAACAUAAUACACAAUUGAUAAAAUAGGAUAUGGACGUAUGAUUAAGUAAUAAAUAGUAAUAAUCGUAAAUUAAUAAUAAUAAUAAUAAUAAUAAUGAUAAAUAACGGUUUGGCUUGCGAUCGGAACACACAUACACACAAGCGUACGCGCACAUACACACACAUACAUACAUAUAUACAUACAUAUAUACAUACAUACAUACAUACAUACAUACAUACAUACAUACAUACAUACAUACACGAUACGCACAUAUACACACAUGUACACAUACAGACACACAUACGGACACACGCCUUGCAAGUCCCCAGUGCAGCCACAGCAAACCCUGGCAGCCUUAAGCCGCUCCCUCAUUUCGCUCCCUGAUGCUUGCUUUUGCUUGGCUAUAUUGCCCGUACACGGUCGUACCUGCCCCCGACCCUUCGUCCCUCGGGCUGCGAAGCUAUUAUCCUGGCAGCCCACACGCCUGAUGAGGUGCUACUGCCGGUACCGGUGCUGGCGGAGCUACUGCUGCUGCCGUGACUACUGGCGCUGGUGGUGUUGCUGUCAUCGUACGACAUCUUUGGAGAGCCAUGACAAGAUGGCAAGAUGCUGUUGUUUCCCGGCGGUGCCACUACUGCUGCUACUGCUGCUGCUCGUGUUGAAGCUGCUGCUACUGCCGAUGGUUCAGGCGGUGGCAGUAGCUCUAGGUAGUGUUGCAGAUCUGCAACCAGGUCCAGUCAGACACGACCAGACGUGUGUGCCUCAGGAGGAUUGGUGGGAGGGUUGGGGAGGAGGACACAAACCAAUUGAAGGUACGGCAGAUGUACGACAUAUCAUAUUUAAGUGUACGGCUCAUGCGCGCCGCGAGAUACAUGCACUCCUGCCCUCAGCUAGCACAGCCGGGAUGUCAGCAGCGGAUCAUUGGCAUUUUGUUUUAAUGUGCGAUAACUCCUCCCUCCCUCCCUCCCUCCCCCCCUAUCUCCCCCCUCCCUCCCCCUCGCCCUCCUUUCCUAUGAAAUCCGAAACCCCAAUAACCCCCACAGUAAAUCCCCCAGCCUUUCCCUCGCCAGAUGAUCGGAAAUGACAUACGACAUAUGGUACGACACUUCACAACCCGAUCAGACAGCACUGGACGACACCCCACCAUCAAAGCACAAACCCCACCCCACCCUACCCGGUUGUACGACCACCUCCGCAGCCCCUCGUACAUCCACCCGCUCCAGAACCACUCCCGGGGACAGAGCCAGAUCCACCGAGCCACCGCCACUGGCCAGCCAGGCUGUACGGAGGCAAGAUUGGACGAGCACCUGGGACGACGAGCAAAACACCCCACGAAGACAGACACACACACGAUCACACAAAAUUACUCCACAUUCCCACACAGCGGGGAAAGAGUUUUCCUUUUUGGGGGGUUGGGGUGGGGAAUUUUUGGUGUGAAACCAACAAGAAUUGUUAUUCAGUUAACAACGAAUUAACUGCUAACCGACGUUAAAAGCGCCAACUGCUAAAGGGUUUUGGGAGGGGGUUUUGGACCGCCUUUGGUUCCCAUCCGGGGGGGUGGGGACUUGGGUUGCCGCAUUGCGGGCGGAUACCUGUGGUGAGAACACGGCACGGCCAAAGCCAGGCUGAAGUUAACAGGAGGUUUUGAUCUGCCGAUGGAUAUAUGGCCUAAAACGGAAAUAUGCGGCCGGCAGGGAGAUUAGGCGGAGUGUGUGUAUGUAUGUGUGCAUGUAUGUAUGUAUGUAUGUAUGUGUGUGGCGGUAAUAUCUUAUGUUGAUGUUGAGGGAGAGGAAACUUUGUCGGCGAGGUCGGAACACACGUUACUAUCAACGGAUCAGAGCCUUCUGUCGUACAUGUCGUACAUAUCAGUUCACCUUGAUCGGCCCUCCGCCGCUGUCCACCACCACAUCGCCCUCGAGCCCCUCCAGGACUACGGCACCGCCGUACGACAGUAUCUCGGCGCCCCCAGCGCUGCUGUCGCUGCCACCGCCGCCUUCAUCAGCAGCAGCAUGCACAUUGGCGGCGGCGGCGCUGCCACCGCCGUCACCGCCCCCAGUCCCGCAGUCCAACGUGCCAAUACGGAUUGCGCCCCCACCUGUUGUACGGACGCGAAACGGAAACUUACGGUUGGCAGCAGGGUUCGACACCCCGUACGGGGCCCGUAAGUUUUUGGCCUUUUUUCGGUAUCCCCGUAAGGGCCCGUAGGACUUUACAGUGGCCCCCGUAAGGAUUUUGGGGCG
rnacentral:lncRNA from 1 species